UAAAGUUAUAGGCAUUCCCUAACUCAGAAUAAAAAAUAAUAUUAUUAUCAUGACUAUAGUUCCAAAUAGAAUGAUAAGAAAAAUCGUCAAUUUAUCAGCCUUGGGUUGAUAUUAUAUUGUUGAUAAUAUUUGAUUAGUCCAUGUAUGUAUAUUUACUUAUACACAUUUGAAUUCAAUAGUAGAACGAAUAUAUUUUAGUUUAGCUAAUAAAUAUAAAUGGCGACUUAGAAGCAAGUUUAACUUGAUCCCAAAUGUUUCAUUCCGAUUAGAACCGAAUUCACAAUAGACGAAUCUUCUUGAUAUUGCGGUGAUAAUAAAUCAGUGAAGGACGAACCGUAGUUGCUCUGAAAUUGAAAAGACAAUCAAUAUUGGAGGCGUUGUUGAAGCGGUAGGCGGUGGUAGGCGCCUGGGGCGGCCACGACCCACCAAUGGCGUGCUCAAUAUUUGUCGCACCUUACGGUCAACGACAUCCAUAUAUAAUUUUUAUAUUAUAUCUAUUGAGAAUGUUACAAUAACAAUGUAAAAACAUUCGUUUUAAUACUCACGUGUGUCUGCAGCAGUAGCAUGCUGGAAGAGUUGGACGAAAAAGCGCUUGGCGAGCGCGGCUCUAUGGCGCUCGGCCCUGCAACAACCAAACAUUUCACUUAAAAUGAAUUGAUCUAUUACGAUGAAUUUUUAUAGCGUAAAUAAAACAAUAUUUUUUUACACCGCGUUACGUAUUUCAAUUAUUGUAUCAGCAACAACAUUGGACAAUAACA
rnacentral:lncRNA from 1 species